rnacentral:rRNA from 1 species
UACGAAGGGGGCUAGCGUUGCUCGGAAUUAUUGGGCGUAAAGAGCUCGUAGGCGGUUUGUUGCGUCGGCUGUGAAAUCCCGAGGCUCAACCUCGGGUCUGCAGUCGAUACGAGCAAACUAGAGUGUUGCAGGGGAGACUGGAAUUCCUGGUGUAGCGGUGAAAUGCGCAGAUAUCAGGAGGAACACCGGUGGCGAAGGCGGGUCUCUGGGCCGUAACUGACGCUGGAGGAGCGAAAGCCGUGGGGAGCGAACAGG